rnacentral:tRNA from 1 species
CCUCUCGUAGCUUAGCGCCAGAGCUAUGGUGUGUAAAAUCAGAGACCCGGGUUCGAUUCUCGGCGAGGGCG